UGCAACGCGAAGCACCUUACCUGGUCUUGACAUGUCAGGAAUCCUGCAGAGAUGCGGGAGUGCCUUCGGGAACCUGAACACAGGUGCUGCAUGGCUGUCGUCAGCUCGUGUCGUGAGAUGUUGGGUUAAGUCCCGCAACGAGCGCAACCCUUGUCAUUAGUUGCCAUCAUUUAGUUGGGCACUCUAAUGAGACUGCCGGUGACAAACCGGAGGAAGGUGGGGAUGACGUCAAGUCCUCAUGGCCCUUAUGGGUAGGGCUUCACACGUCAUACAAUGGUCGGUACAGAGGGUUGCCAAGCCGCCGAGCUGGAGCCAAUCCCAGAAAGCCGAUCGUAGUCCGGAUCGUAGUCUGCAACUCGACUGCGUGAAGUCGGAAUCGCUAGUAAUCGUGGAUCAGCAUGCCACGGUGAAUACGUUCCCGGGUCUUGUACACACCGCCCGUCACACCAUGGGAGUGGGUUUCACCAGAAGUAGGUAGCCUAACCGCGAGG
rnacentral:rRNA from 1 species